rnacentral:rRNA from 1 species
AGUGAACGCUGGCGGUAGGCCUAACACAUGCAAGUCGAACGGCAGCACAGGAGAGCUUGCUCUCUGGGUGGCGAGUGGCGGACGGGUGAGGAAUACAUCGGAAUCUACUCUGUCGUGGGGGAUAACGUAGGGAAACUUACGCUAAUACCGCAUACGACCUACGGGUGAAAGCAGGGGACCUUCGGGCCUUGCGCGAUUGAAUGAGCCGAUGUCGGAUAGCUAGUUGGCGGGGUAAAGGCCCACCAAGGCGACGAUCCGUAGCCGGUCUGAGAGGAUGAUCAGCCACACUGGAACUGAGACACGGUCCAGACUCCUACGGGAGGCAGCAGUGGGGAAUAUUGGACAAUGGGCGCAAGCCUGAUCCAGCCAUACCGCGUGGGUGAAGAAGGCCUUCGGGUUGUAAAGCCCUUUUGUUGGGAAAGAAAUCCAGCUGGCUAACACCCGGUUGGGAUGACGGUACCCAAAGAAUAAGCACCGGCUAACUUCGUGCCAGCCGCCGCGGUAA